rnacentral:lncRNA from 1 species
CAAACAACGACAACCCCGCUCCCAAGCAAGUCGGAGGCCAUCCCGCAAGAAAAGCACUGUCGGCAAGCCCCUGAGACAUAAAACCAGCGAGUCACCUUCCCGAGCUAUCCUGCAUGACUCCACCACCACCCAUCAGACCUUCGCCUACUAUAUACUUGCCAUCAACGUUCAACUUUAAGAACUUUGUCGGCGAUGGCCUCCAGGCCAUGUUCAACCACUCAUUUUUUUCGUGCAUCAUAUCAGGUUGAAGAAACCUGAGUAUAUCGUCGUGUUUGUGAGCGACCUUCCGCCACACAGUCCACAGAGAACCAUCCAGGACCAUGUUGCAG